rnacentral:lncRNA from 1 species
AAACAUUUCAUUUAGGAAGUGUAAAAAUGGCAUUUUUCCAGCAGCGAACCAUUUCCGCCCAUAAUCAGCAGAUGUGAGUACAUGGAGACAACAAUUUGCAUGCAAAUGUAAGCAUAUAACUGAACAGAGGCAUGAUGCUCAUUUAUCUUGUACUACUUAUUAUGUGUGUAUAUGUCUAUAGAUAUUCUAUAUAUAAAAGCCUACUUAAAAUAAAGUACUUUACAGUGGUCUUGGUUUGUGAUAUUUGCCCUGUUGGAUUUCUUCUCAGGCCAGACAGAAAGUCCUGUUUUGAUCCUGAAAGACUGUCAAGUAACAGGAACAGAUGGAAUUGGAGCCCAUUACAUUUUUCCAAAUGGGAACACAUCUGGAGCAUAAAUGAUUUUGGCUUACCAAAAUGGAAGGAAUGGCAUCAAGAAGCAUUCAACAGUUUCAGUGGAGGAAGAUCAGCACUGAAGUAAUGCAGGAAUCUGUGUUUGGACUUGCCUUUUAAUAUACUCAUAAAUGACCUGGAAAAGGGGAUGCUGUGUUAUGACAAAGUUUGCUGAUGAUACAGUUAUUUAAGGUAAAACCGGUGAAGACCAGUUAUGAAAGGACCAGGAGGUCCUUACAAGACUCAGUGGAUGGAUAUGGCAGGUUAAAUUAAAUGUAAAUAAAUAUAAAACAAUGUAUGUAUGGUGUGAAUAA